UGGGGAAUUUUGGACAAUGGGGGAAACCCUGAUCCAGCCAUCCCGCGUGUGCGAUGAAGGCCUUCGGGUUGUAAAGCACUUUUGGCAGGAAAGAAACGUCAUGGGUUAAUACCCCGUGAAACUGACGGUACCUGCAGAAUAAGCACCGGCUAACUACGUGCCAGCAGCCGCGGUAAUACGUAGGGUGCAAGCGUUAAUCGGAAUUACUGGGCGUAAAGCGUGCGCAGGCGGUUCGGAAAGAAAGAUGUGAAAUCCCAGAGCUCAACUUUGGAACUGCAUUUUUAACUACCGGGCUAGAGUGUGUCAGAGGGAGGUGGAAUUCCGCGUGUAGCAGUGAAAUGCGGAGAUAUGCGGAGGAACACCGAUGGCGAAGGCAGCCUCCUGGGAUAACACUGACGCUCAUGAACGAAAGCGUGGGGAGCAAACAGG
rnacentral:rRNA from 1 species